ACGGAAGGCAGCAGUGGGGAAUAUUGGGCAAUGGGCGGAAGCCUGACCCGGCGACGCCGCGUGAGGGAAGACGGUCUUCGGAUUGUAAACCUCUUUCAGCAGGGAAGAUAAUGACGGUACCUGCAGAAGAAGCCACGGCUAACUACGUGCCAGCAGCCGCGGUAAUACGUAGGUGGCAAGCGUUAUCCGGAAUUACUGGGUGUAAAGGGUGUGUAGGCGGGAAUGCAAGUCAGAUGUGAAAAUCAUGGGCUCAACCCAUGACCUGCGUCUGAAACUGUAUUUCUUGAGAGUGGGAGAGGUAAAUGGAAUUCCUGGUGUAGCGGUGAAAUGCGUAGAUAUCAGGAGGAACACCGGUGGCGAAGGCGAUUUACUGGACCACAACUGACGCUGAGACACGAAAGCGUGGGGAGCAAACAGGAUUAGAUACCCUGGUA
rnacentral:rRNA from 1 species